GGUUUUUACUGGGGUCAUGAAGUUUUGAAAACUUUUGAUAAGUGUUCGAUUCACUUAAAAACUU
rnacentral:tRNA from 1 species